rnacentral:rRNA from 1 species
UGACGGUACCACUUGAAUAAGCUCCGGCUAACUACGUGCCAGCAGCCGCGGUAAUACGUAGGUGGCGAGCGUUGUCCGGAAUUAUUGGGCGUAAAGGGAGCGCAGGUGGGAAAGUAAGUCAGUCUUAAAAGUGCGGGGCUCAACCCCGUGAUGGGAUUGAAACUACUUUUCUUGAGUGCAGGAGAGGAAAGCGGAAUUCCUAGUGUAGCGGUGAAAUGCGUAGAUAUUAGGAGGAACACCAGUGGCGAAGGCGGCUUUCUGGACUGUAACUGACACUGAGGCUCGAAAGCGUGGGGAGCGAACAGGAUUAGAUACCCUG